CCUACGGGAGGCUGCAGUGGGGAAUAUUGGGCAAUGGACGCAAGUCUGACCCAGCAACGCCGCGUGAAUGAUGAAGGCCUUCGGAUUGUAAACUUCUUUUCUAAGGGACGAAGAAAGUGACGGUACCUUAGGAAUAAGCCUCGUCUAACUACGUGCCAGCAGCCGCGGUAAUACGUAGGUGGCAAGCGUUAUCCGGAGUUACUGGGCGUAAAGGGCGCGUAGGUGGGUUGGCAAGUCAGUUGUGCAACUCUGGGGCUCAACUUCGGAACUGCAAUUGAAACUGUUUGCCUUGAGUGCAGGGGAGGCAGACGGAAUUCGUAGUGUAGCGGUGAAAUGCGUAGAUAUUAGGAGGAACACCAGUGGCGAAGGCGGUCUGCUAGACAGUAACUGACACUGAGGCGCGAAAGCGUGGGGAGCAAACAGGAUUAGAUACCCGUGUAGUC
rnacentral:rRNA from 1 species